rnacentral:misc_RNA from 1 species
GUAGGUGAACCUGCGGAAGGAUCAUCAUUGAAUCUAUAUUCUACAAACUCUUGUGAACUUGGCCAUUCUUUUAGGGGAGUGCGCCUGCAUGCUUAUGAGUCUGAUGUUGGCGGUGUCUGUGUAUGUACCGGCCGGUAUGGCUUGCACUGCAGCCCGCCAAUGUCACGAACUUUUAAUACAAACUCUGUUAAAAUCCAAAGCUAAUAAAAUUUAUGUGCAACAUAAAACAACUUUCAACAAUGGAUCUCUUGGCUCUC